CGCGCGCGUCCGCCGGAACGGGAAACGUUUCCGCGGGUAGAACGCGUCCCCUCCUUGAGUUCUUGGCUAGAUGUCGGCAUCGCACCUUGUGUUUGUAAAAGAGAUUCCUCGCGGAGAAGAAAAACUAUAAAGGUGCAACCAGCAACGCGUCUACUCUCCAUAAAAAGGUUGCAAACUUCUGCCGGAUGGAUUCAUCUUCGCCGGCAACGAGCAAGCAACGCCGAUCCAUCGUCCCUUCUCCAGCCUGAGGUGCCGCAGCAGUCGUUGAUCGAUGUUGCCUUGCCUCCCAUUAUAAUUUUAUUAGGUUUCUCAGGAGCCUGCUGGGUGCGCGAUAGCCGCAGCAUGGAUUUUAAACUGCAUGUGAUCGAAGCUAUCACAGACAAGUUUGGAGAGGAUCGGAAAGUCGGCAGCGGUGGGUAUGGAGAUGUUUACAGGGCCACCUAUGAAGGGGAGGAGAUUGCCGUGAAGAAGCUUCAUCAACUGCAGGGACUCGAUGAUAAGCAAUUUGACAGCGAGUUCCGUAAUCUUCGUAAAGUACGCCACCAAAAUGUUGUGCGGCUAAUUGGCUACUGCCACGAGUCUCGGAACAAAUACAUGGAUCAUAAUGGGGAACUUAUCUUCGCAAAAAUUAUGGAGCGGGUGCUGUGCUUCGAAUAUAUGGAGGGCGGAAGCCUCGAUAAACAUAUUACUGAUGGAUCUUGUGAACUUGAUUGGCCCAUAUGUUACAAAGUCAUCAAAGGGGCAUGUGAGGGCUUAAAUCACCUUCACACCGCGCAGGAGAAGCCUAUUUUCCAUCUAGACAUAAAGCCAGCCAAUAUAUUGCUGGAUAAGAGCAUGACCCCUAAAAUUGCGGAUCUUGGUUUGUCGAAACUUGUUUCUUCGACAUUAACACAUAAAACAGAGAUUGUGAAAGGGACACAAGGGUACAUGCCACCUGAAUAUGUAGACAAUGGCUUUGUAUCGAACAAGUUUGACGUAUUCAGUUUGGGAGUCGUGAUUAUAAAAAUGAUGGCCGGUAAUAUGGGCUACUUCCGUUGUGCUGAAAAGUCUCCCAAAGAUUUCAUUGAGCAUGUAACUGAAAACUGGAUGAAAAGGUUGCACGCGGAGCCUGGAUAUUCCUCGCACGAGACAGAUAUCCUCCGAGUGAGUACAAGUGUUGAGAUUGCACUUAGGUGUGUGGACAAGGACCGAAAAAAAAGGCCAUGUAUCAAUGAUGUUGUCCUUGAACUGGAGAAACUAGAAGCUAAGAUUAAGGAAAUGUCACUAGCUUCUGAUGUGCAAAAAGAUCUCACAGUCCAGAGAAGCUGUGACACCAACAUUAUGUCGGUGGAUCCAACCAUGGAGCUGCGGUUUCUCUUUGAGCAAGGGAAGGAGGCGUCGUGCUGCCUGCAGCUGACCAACAAGACGGGUGGAUUCAUCGCAUUCAACAUAGAGAUCAACCCGAACAAGUACCGUGCGCGGCCAAGCCAAGGGACCAUGCCGCCGUGCUCCAGGCGUUAUGUUGUCGUGACGCUGUCAGCGCAGGAGGCGGUGCCACCAUACAUGCGGUGCGAGGACAUGCUCCUCGUGCAGAGCACCAACAUCACCCAAGAUCUUGCUGCCAAUCGUUUAUGUUACACUGGACCAGUAGUCUCCACCAAGAACUGGGAGUGGUUGUCUCUGGUGACAAAGCGAUGUGUCGGUAAAUUCAGAUAAAUGUUGAGUUGUUGUUUGGGAAAAGGUGUUGUUUUGGUAAAUUCAGAUAAAUUCAGAUAAAUGUUGAGUUGUCUCCA
rnacentral:rRNA from 1 species